rnacentral:rRNA from 1 species
GUGAGUCAUCGAAUCUUUGAACGCACCUUGCGCUCCUUGGUAUUCCGAGGAGCAUGCCUGUUUGAGUGUCAUUAAUAUAUAUCAACCUUCUCCUUGUUGGAGAGGUGUUUGGAUGUGGGGGGUUUGCUGGCCUCUUAAAAAGGUUCAGCUCCUCUGAAAUGCAUUAGCAGAACAACCCGUUCAUUGGCGUGAUAACUAUCUACGCUAUUGAAUGUGAUGGGGCAGUUCAGCUUUCUAACAGUCUUUGGACAAUUCAUCAUUAAUGUGACCUCAAAUCAGGUAGGACUACCCGCUGAACUUAAGCAUAUCAAUAAGCGGAGG